CCUACGGGGGGCUGCAGUGAGGAAUAUUGGUCAAUGGACGAGAGUCUGAACCAGCCAAGUAGCGUGAAGGAUGACUGCCCUAUGGGUUGUAAACUUCUUUUAUAUGGGAAUAAAAUGUUCCACGUGUGGGAUUUUGUAUGUACCAUAUGAAUAAGGAUCGGCUAACUCCGUGCCAGCAGCCGCGGUAAUACGGAGGAUCCGAGAGUUAUCCGGAUUUAUUGGGUUUAAAGGGAGCGUAGGUGGAUUGUUAAGUCAGUUGUGAAAGUUUGCGGCUCAACCGUAAAAUUGCAGUUGAAACUGGCAGUCUUGAGUACAGUAGAGGUGGGCGGAAUUCGUGGUGUAGCGGUGAAAUGCUUAGAUAUCACGAAGAACUCCGAUUGCGAAGGCAGUUCACUGGACUGCAACUGACACUGAGGCUCGAAAGUGUGGGUAUCAAACAGGAUUAGAUACCCUUGUAGUC
rnacentral:rRNA from 1 species